rnacentral:rRNA from 1 species
GUAAUGGCCUACCAAGGCGACGACGGGUAGCCGACCUGAGAGGGUGACCGGCCACACUGGGACUGAGACACGGCCCAGACUCCUACGGGAGGCAGCAGUGGGGAAUAUUGCACAAUGGGCGGAAGCCUGAUGCAGCGACGCCGCGUGAGGGAUGACGGCCUUCGGGUUGUAAACCUCUUUCAGCAGGGACGAAGCGUAAGUGACGGUACCUGCAGAAGAAGCACCGGCUAACUAUGUGCCAGCAGCCGCGGUAAUACGUAGGGUGCGAGCGUUGUCCGGAAUUACUGGGCGUAAAGAGCUCGUAGGCGGUUCGUCGCGUCGGCUGUGAAAACCCGGGGCUCAACUUCGGGCUUGCAGGCGAUACGGGCAGACUUGAGUGUUUCAGGGGAGACUGGAAUUCCUGGUGUAGCGGUGAAAUGCGCAGAUAUCAGGAGGAACACCGGUGGCGAAGGCGGGUCUCUGGGCAGUAACUGACGCUGAGGAACGAAAGCGUGGGUAGCAAACAGGAUUAGAUACCCUGGUAGUCCACGCCGUAAACGGUGGGCGCUAG